AUGUUGUCAGUCACCAUCUCUGCCUGGAUAAUGAUCCUCUGGAGUCAUGGUUCCAGUGGAUCUGUAGUUUUGACUCAGUCCCCGGACAUUCAGUCUGUCCAACCUGGCGCUACGGUAUCCAUCACCUGCACAGCCAGCAGCUCUGUGUACUGUUCGACCCAUCGGGUGGAGGAGCUCUCCUGGUACCAGCAGAGAGACAGCAGUGCUCCCACUCUCCUGGUCUCCAAAGUCAGUUCCCUGCAGGCUGGCGUGCCCACUCGUUACAGCGGGAAAGGCAACGGGCUGACCUACACUCUGAUCAUCAGCUCCGUGCAGAUAGAUGAUGCUGCCGUGUAUUACUGUGGACAGACUGCGCACAGGCCAUUCACACAGUGGUAA